rnacentral:rRNA from 1 species
UACGUAGGGGGCAAGCGUUGUCCGGAAUCAUUGGGCGUAAAGCGCGCGUAGGCGGCCCGGUAAGUCCGCUGUGAAAGUCGGGGGCUCAACCCUCGAAUGCCGGUGGAUACUGUCGGGCUAGAGUGCGGAAGAGGCGAGUGGAAUUCCUGGUGUAGCGGUGAAAUGCGCAGAUAUCAGGAGGAACACCGAUUGCGAAGGCAGCUCGCUGGGACGUAACUGACGCUGAGACGCGAAAGCGUGGGGAGCAAACAGG